rnacentral:lncRNA from 1 species
GCGAGAGAGAGAGAGAGAGAGAGUUGUAGUUCACCGCUCUCUGACUGGUGAGAUAACUUGUGCACCAUCAGAAAAUGACUGGUGCAGUAUCAUCACCUUGUGGUAAGAAAGAGAAUGGCCAGAAAGAACGUCAGGGACAACCAGGCUCAGUGGUCUCCCAUUCCUAGUAUUUACAUUCUUUGUUCACGAAAACUAAAAGUCACCAAGUUUCCCACUGCUUUGCCAUUAUGAUCAAGCGGAAUGCCAUAGUUUGACAAGGCAGUGUAGCUUGUGGACAAUGGUCUCAAUCAGUCUAAAUUAUACAUUUAAGCCAGCCUUCUUUUUUAUUAUUUUUUAUUUUACCUUUAUUUAACUAGGCAAGUCAGUUAAGAACACAUUCUUAUUUUCAAUGACGGCCUAGGAACAGUGGGUUAACUACCUGUUCAGGGGCAGAACGACAGAUUUGUACCUUGUCAGCUCGGGGGUUUUGAAUGUCCUACAGUCUAACCACUAGGCUACCCUGCCGCCCCAUUCUGACCAUAUGUAAGAGUUACUGUAUAAACAAGCCCAUACAUUCUGCAGUGAGCAAUCUAAUUAUGUAACCACGUCCAUGAUAAGUAUCUGUUCCUCUUCUUUAAGUAUCUGUUCCUGGACACUCCUUGGAAUUCAGAGUAUGAAAAGGAAGUCUUGAAAAUCUUUCGAUCAACAGGCUCAUGAUCUCAAGCUUUGUUUAACCGGAGAAAAGGAACCUGAACAACAUUUGGAUAGAUAAUAAUAAUGUUUGACUGAGUCCGUGUGAACUGAAAGGUCAUCUAUGCAAUAACUAGUGGAGUUUUAUUCAAGGGCACUAUUCUACGGACCCUACCCAGUGUGUGGACAAUGCAGUGGCCUAUUCAUAUGUAGUAGUUAUUGAAACUGACACCUACCAUUACUCACGAGAUGCACUGUGUGAGGAUGACCCAUUUGGUUUCAAUGGGGUUGUGGUUACAGAAGAGGUGUCUUUUCCAAUACGGAGAUGUACUCCAUUUCUAAGCCAUAACAGAAAUAGUGGAUCUGGUGGCAGUAGAAGAACAAUCCUUUCCAAACUUCACUCCAAGACCUUCUCACCAUGUGCAUCUACCUCAUAUACAUCCUACUGUGACCAACUAUCUCACUCAAGGUCAAGGGCAUGGCUCACUACAACAAGAUAUGGAGCCCUCAGGACUGAUCGAGCGUUGGUAUGA